rnacentral:misc_RNA from 1 species
UCAAUAUGGCGGAAAGAGUACGUUAGCAGGUUUUAGAUCGUGUUUUCUCGCAUUGUGAUUUUUUGAAUUAUUGAUAAUUGUUUAAUAGUGAUACAUAUUUAUCCUAUUUCACUUUCAUAAUUACGUUGAAUCCAAAACGCUAAUAUGGGAUCUAAUAAACGUCAUAAAACCGAGAAAUCUCGUGAUGCUAAGAAGAAGCGUCACCGCAGUCGCUCUAGAAGCUACACACCCGAUCGUGAGAAAUCGGAAAAGCACAGGCACCACAAAAAACACAGGAGGAAAGAGCGCAAGGAUUAUGACAGCGAUGUUGAAAUUGUUAAUGCUCCACCACCACCAAAAAUAUCAAAAUCAUCGCACCCAUCGACGCCUCCACCACCUGAAAUUUCCAAACAGCGUAGUCCUUCUCCCAUUAAAGGUGGUGCAGCACAAACCUCUUUAUCUAUCGAGGAGACCAAUAAACUUCGUGCAAAAUUAGGCUUGAAACCAUUGGAAGUCGAUAAUACAUCUAAAGAUGAUCCUAAUAAAAUCAAGGAUGAUUUAGGAGAGUUUUAUCACAAGCCUGCGCCAAAUAAUAAUGAAAAAAUAAGAGCAGAGAAACUGAGAGAAAAAUUAGGUACUCAAAAGCAAAAACGACAAAUUGAAGCAAAUUUGUCAAAAAUGAAAUCCUUGGGUGAAUGUGAUUCUGACGAUGAUACUCAUACAUGGAUUACUAAGUCCAGGCAACUGGAAGAAGAGAAGAAGAAAGCAGAGGAGAGAGCAAAAAUGUUAGAUCAAUUGGAUGAGGAAUUUGGCAUUGGUAACUUAGUCAAGGAAGAAAUACAUACUGCUCGUAACACAGCAUAUACAGAGAAAAAUCUGAAGGGUCUUAAAGUUGAACACAAUAUUAGCACAUUUGAGGAAGGCAAAACUGUGAUUCUAACAUUGAAAGAUCAAGAAGUAUUGGAUGAAAAUGAUGAUCUACUAGUAAACGUGAAUAUGAUUGAUAACGAACGCUACAAACGUAGUAUUUUGAAUAAAACUAAGAAAUCUACGUAUGAUCCGUACGAUGAUGAGAAUUUCGAUGAAUAUGGAUUUCCUAAAAGUAAGAUUCUAGAAAAAUACGAUGAAGAAAUCGAUGGCGAGAAAAAGGAUAAUUUUGUACUGGGUACUAAUAACACGGUAGAAUUGAAACGACGUCAAAUAGAAACUGUGAAGCAACGUUUAGCAAAUAAAAAGCUAGAAACCUUGCAAAUGGCCGAACCGAAAUUAGCGAGUGAAUAUUACAAUGAAGAAGAGCUGGCAAAGUUUAAGAAACCAAAAAAGAAGAUUCGCAAAAUUAGAACAAAGAAGAAGUUGAGGGCUGAUGAUUUAGUUCCUAUUGACAAUGACUAUCUUCGAGACCUUGGAAGUAGGAGAAGGAAAAAACCAGAAGACUCUAAGGAUAAUGAUGCUUUAGAUAGUGAUGAUUUAGAAGCUCCUACUGAGGAUCUUACCGGAAUAAAACUUGAAGAAGAUGAUAAGGAACUGGAACUACAAUUGGCUUUAAAGAAAGCUCAACGUUUGAAGGAAGGACAUCCCAGUGGCAUCCAAAAAACUGUUGAAACAAUAAAACAAGAGAUUCUGAAUUCGGAGGAGAAUCAACCUGGCAAUAUUGUUCUUAAUGCAACUGCAGAGUUUUGUAGAACCUUAGGAGACAUACCCACAUAUGGACUUGCUGGAAACAGAGAAGAAAAUGGACAAGAACUUAUGGAUUUCGAAAUGGAUGGAAUUAAAGAUGAGCCACCUGUGAACGAAGACGAAGAUGAUGGCCGUGGUGCUUGGAACACAGUGCAUUUAGAUGAGAACACUUCGGAACCAGUUGUGAUGGAAGCUGCAAUUUUGGAUGCAGAGCCCUCACUUGGGCAUGGAGUAGGUGGAGCUUUAAAAUUAGCAAUGAGUAAAGGAUACUUGCAAAAAGAAGACAGCAAUCGGCCAUCGGCAUCACGAUUUGCACAUUUGCAAGCUCAAAAUUAUUCGAUAGAGGAUAAAACAUACGGUUAACAGUUUUAAAUAGAGCCCGGAAAACGGUGCUCGGAACCGGUGAUCCGCUACCGCUACAAGAGUUUACGCUUAAACUCGAGGAGGCGAACAGAAGGCUGAGAAGAGAGUAGGAUUUGUUAAGAGAUGACGACAAAUUUGGCAGAAGAGACCGUUUCAACGGACCAACGUCCGAUUUUAAAGAGAAGGAUGGUUUUAAGCCGAACGUUAAGCUUGAAUACAUUGACGAUGACGGUCACGUUUUGAGCGCCAAGGAAGCUUUCCGAUAUCUAUCGCAUAAGUUUCAUGGGAAAGGAC